GACGAACGCUGGCGGCGUGCUUAACACAUGCAAGUCGAGCGGUAAGGCCCUUUCGGGGGUACGACGAGCGGCGAACGGGUGAGUAACACGUGGGUGACCUGCCCUUAGCUCUGGGAUAAGCCUGGGAAACUGGGUCUAAUACCGGAUAUGACUCCAUGACGCAUGUUGUGGGGUGGAAAGCCUUGUGCGGCUAGGGAUGGGCCCGCGGCCUAUCAGCUUGUUGGUGGGGUGAUGGCCUACCAAGGCGACGACGGGUAGCCGGCCUGAGAGGGCGACCGGCCACACUGGGACUGAGACACGGCCCAGACUCCUACGGGAGGCAGCAGUGGGGAAUCUUGCGCAAUGGGCGAAAGCCUGACGCAGCGACGCCGCGUGGGGA
rnacentral:rRNA from 1 species